UCUUCCCUCUUUCUUCGUGCUUAACACAUGCAAGUCGAACGGGAAACCUUUUAUUGAAGCUUCAGCAGAUUUAGCUGGUUUCUAGUGGCGGACGGGUGAGUAACGCGUGGGUAACCUGCCUUAUACAGGGGGAUAACAACCAGAAAUGGUUGCUAAUACCGCAUAAGCGCACAGGACCGCAUGGUCCGGUGUGAAAAACUCCGGUGGUAUAAGAUGGACCCGCGUUGGAUUAGCUAGUUGGCAGGGUAACGGCCUACCAAGGCGACGAUCCAUAGCCGGCCUGAGAGGGUGAACGGCCACAUUGGGACUGAGACACGGCCCAGACUCCUACGGGAGGCAGCAGUGGGGAAUAUUGCACAAUGGGGGAAACCCUGAUGCAGCGACGCCGCGUGAAGGAAGAAGUAUCUCGGUAUGUAAACUUCUAUCAGCAGGGAAGAUAGUGACGGUACCUGACUAAGAAGCCCCGGCUAACUACGUG
rnacentral:rRNA from 1 species